rnacentral:rRNA from 1 species
UACGUAGGGUGCGAGCGUUAAUCGGAUUUACUGGGCGUAAAGCGAGCGCAGGUGGUUUAAUAAGUCUGAUGUAAAAGGCAGUGGCUCAACCAGUGUGUGCAUUGGAAACUGUUAGACAUGAGUGCAGUAGAGGAGAGUGGAAUUCCAUGUGUAGCGGUGAAAUGCGUAGAUAUAUGGAGGAACACCGGUGGCGAAAGCGGCUCUCUGGACUGUAACUGACACUGAGGCUCGAAAGCGUGGGUAGCAAACAGG